UCACGCUGGGAAGCCCUCUCGCUGGCAGGUGGACCCCGGCACCAGGACUUUCUUCCCUGUUGCAACGGACUCAUCCGUAAAGAUCGUAACCGCCAGGAUCUUCCCCCAACAACCAAAUCGCCCCAGGCUUCUUGCGCCGAUCUACCAGAUUCCCAUGGGGAUAUACAUACCCAGGGCACAUCCGCCCCCGGCACCGUGUGAUCAAACCGUGCCCACACCGAGCAAGCAUCGACCAAAGAGAGAAGGGAGAAAGAGACAUCCGCCGUCGGGUAUAGGUGUGUGGGUCGCCACCUUGCUCAUAAAGUAUGGUCGGAGGAUGUCGACAUGACGUGUUGUACCUGUGCGAGGCAUCUUCGAGCUUUGGGGUCAGCGAAACCUCGAGAAUUCCUCGUUGGAGUUCCCACUCCCCCGCGGUGCCACUCCUCGCCGUGGCCGGCGUCACCUGAGCGACAAUCCGUGGUCAAGUACAGGUACCACAAGAUAAGGAGCCUGAAGGAUAUCGCGAUGAGUUCAUGAGAGGUCUAGGUCGUCGUCUCCCUGUCAACUAUGGUUACGGAGGGUCGUUAUCUUCAUGUGAUGUAAUUAUUUAGCUAUUUUGUACAGAACCCCUAUUAUAUAAUGAAGAUGUGACAUUCGUUUCUAUAUCA